UAGAUUAAGCAUGAAACGCGCUCAUUUGUGUUCAGAAGCUAGGUAAUUAGGAUGGGUUGUAGUAAUAUCAUCAUUUUUUGUAGUGGCAUUAUUUGCCUUUCUUUCUGAAGUCAAAUGCAAUUUCGAAUGAGGUGAGUCAGUAACAUUGGUCAAGAUUAUUUAGAAACCUGCUGUCUGUAAUGGACAUUAUAUUGGUGUGCUGUCCAUAAAUAACAUGCAUGAAGAGUUACACUAAUUUGUCCAGUAAUACGGCCCCAGUAUUACAUAAUAGUUGUAGCAUGAACAUGUGAUGGAUAAUGUGCGUAAAAUUGCCAAGCUAGAGCGUCUGGGCAUCAUUAUCUGAUUAAUGCGGAUACUUUUCACUGUCCGAAGGUUCAAAGGUCAUCUUUUGUACAACGGUAUUCAUAUUUUUGGAACAAAACAACGCUUUACAGAAAACAUUUGCAAGGAUAUUAGCAUCAAUUCUUAAAAGGACGUAUGCACCAUUUUUAAGAAAGGAAACGUAAAAUAUAUCAAGGUUACUGGUGGUGAAAAUGAGCUGAAAAGAAAGAAACAGACCAGUAGUAAUAAAGAAAUCACAGCUGAGGUUGCUGUGAUUGAAUGGACAAAGAAAAGGGUGUUUAUUUGAAUUCUUGCUGAUAAUGGUAAAUGGAGUUUUCAAAAAGGCCAGUUGGAUGCGGUUUCAAUAUAAAUUUUGCAUUGCGAAAGCUUAACAAGAAAGAUGAACUUGAAAUUGACUUCAGUUAUAUAAUACCUAAUUUUUGUGAGAAAAUCAACAGAGACACAAAUUUAAUGGCGGAGACGGAAAGGGACUAUACCAUCAAACGUGUAACAGCUUACUUUACUCUAAGUAAAACACUGUUUGUUUUAAUUUAUGGACCACAAUGAACAUAUGUUAUGAUCCGUAAUUGUGGCAUGUAUGCAAUUUUGCGUUUUGUUCAUAUCUGAUUCAUUUGAUUGAUAUUAUUGUGUUGUUUUAGAUGCUGUAUUGUAAACUUCUAUAUAACAAAAACUGAAUACAAAAUCUCUUGCACCAUUUAUAUAGUAAUUUGCCUUAUUAAUUAUAAAUGUCUACAUCUGAAAGGAACGAAAGUAAAUCAUUCUGCAAAUGUUGUAGCUAUUUCUAAAACUAAAUGUAUUCAAAAUACCAUUUCCACGUAAUAUUUCUGUUUCAGAACUCAUUUAAAUAGAACAUUAGAAAUCUAAUAUAUGAUUUACCUUUAAAUUGUUCUAUUUGUAUUAAAACAUAUAACAGGAUAUUGAUCAGCUAACGCGCGUAUUAGUAUCGUUAUGUAAUACAGUUUAAAGCACGAACCGUUGUCUUACUAAUUAAAUUAACUAUUUUCUGUUGUAUAUAUUUUACUUGUUUUCAGCAUACUUCUGGUUGGUGCAGAUUUAACGGCCCGCUUUGGUUUCGAAAGUAAAUGGCUAUUUAUUAUACUUGGCACAUGACCUUUUCAUUCAUCAUUUCUACAAUGAUCCUGGUCUGUUCAGCGAUAGCCAGUCGUAGAUUUCGUAGAGGUGGAGCGAGCUUUUGUUUCGCCAAUAGUCCGUCUCUAAAUUUUAUUCAGUUAUCAGGUGACCCGCCUCCUAUUAUCAAAAUUGUUAACUAUGCAACACGCCUUGCAAUUAAGAUUGUUAAAUACUCUAGUGAUUGAACGGUACUUUUAUAUUGUUGAUUACAUGUAUAUUAUUAUUUUUGGAGGGACAUAUGUAUUUUAUAUCGAUGUGUAAUUUUUACAUUUUUGCAUGUUUUCUUACAAAAAAUGUUAUAUUCUUACUUAAUGAACAUGUGUCAAUGUAUUUCGUCCUUUUAGAUGUUUGAGAAUUAUUUGUUUAGUAAUUUUACAUAUGUUGAAUUAACAUGAAUGUUUUGGCGCGCUGCACUUAUUAGUUAAAGCUUUUUUAGUAUUCGUGGUACCCCAUAGUUUUUGUCUUACAUUAAAUCUGCGACAUUCCUACUGAAAAGAUCAAACCCAAUUACAUAAAUAUUAUAACACUAUUCCGUACGCGUAAAGCACUUUGUUUUUACACUUUUGACACGGACGCGCUUAAAUAGCAUAGUGGUCCUGCAUUACAUGUAACCUAUCAUAAAACAAUACUAGGUUGUCUGGCAGCUAAAACCAACUCACUUAAAAACAAAUAUAUUUUUUUCGUGUGUCCAUCGAACUAUAAAAACACGGUUUAAAUCAUAUCAUUAACGAAGGCCAAAUGUGUCAUAAUUUACUGAACUAGUGGUACAUGUAGACAGGUUAUUAUUAGAAAAUUAUCAGAAAUUAUUUAUAAUGCAUUCAUACUGAGAACACUGUUAUUGUAAAUAGUGUUAAACCUUUAGAUCUACGCAUCUAAAUAACAGUUCUGUGUGUCCCCCGUUAUAUGACUGAAAUACUGUUGAAAAGCGGCGUUUAAACCCAAACGAACAAACAAACUACCGUGUAUAAUUGUAAAAUGUACAAAACUCGUCUUGAUAACAAUUUAUGUUUCAUGAAAAAUAAUUAUUGUAUUCAAACAUGCUUAAUUUUUACGUAUUUGUAUUAAAUCAAAUAACAACAUCUUAAUGUAUAUGUUUCAAUGGUAUGACAAAAAAACUAGUGUUUACCUCAACAAAAUAUUAAAUAUCUUUCUGUCGGUCUGCUUUUAAUGAAAAGCAGUUGGCAAUAAGUAAACUUUUGAUACAAGAUACAGAGCAUCAAAUAUCGACAAAAUUUAUCACGAAACAGGAAAACAGAGGUUUCCAGCCAGUGUGUUUAUAUAAGUCAAACCUGUCUAUAAAAAACACCUUUAGGACAGCUGAAACGUGUUCUUAGAGCCAGAUGGUCUCUAUUCAAAGCCGGUCUUUAACAAAGGCUUGACCGUACACACCACAUGUACACAUUGCAAAGAUUUAUACUAGUUAUAUCUUGAACACACACAAAUU